rnacentral:rRNA from 1 species
AUUGAACGCUGGCGGCAGGCUUAACACAUGCAAGUCGAGCGGGGGAGGUUGCUUCGGUAACUGACCUAGCGGCGGACGGGCGAGUAAUGCUUAGGAAUGUGCCUAUUAGUGGGGGACAACAUUCCGAAAGUAAUGCUAAUACCACAUACGCCCUACGGGGGAAAGCAGGGGAUGUUCGGACCUUGUGCUACUAGAGCGGCCGAUGGCGGAUUAGGUAGUUGGUGGGAUAAAAGCUUACCAAGCCGACGAUCUGUAGCUGAUCUGAGAGGCCGCUCAGCCACACUGGGACUGAGACACGGCCCAGACUCCUACGGGAGGCAGCAGUGUGCAAUAUUGGACAAUGGUGGGAACCCUGAUCCAGCCAUGCCGCGUGUGUGAAGAAGGCCUUAUGGUUGUAAAGCACUUUAAGCGAGGAGGAGGCUCUUUUGGUUAAUACCCAAGAUGAGUGGACGUUACUCGCAGAAUAAGCACCGGCUAACUCUGUGCCAGCCGCCGCCGUAAUAC